rnacentral:rRNA from 1 species
GACGAACGCUGGCGGCGUGCUUAACACAUGCAAGUCGAACGGUAAGGCCCUUCGGGGUACACGAGUGGCGAACGGGUGAGUAACACGUGGGUGAUCUGCCCUGCACUUCGGGAUAAGCCUGGGAAACUGGGUCUAAUACCGGAUAGGACUCCGGACUGCAUGGUCUGGGGUGGAAAGCUUUUGCGGUGUGGGAUGGGCGCGCGGCCUAUCAGCUUGUUGGUGGGGUGACGGCCCCCCAAGGCGACGACGGGUAGCCGGCCUGAGGGGGUGACCGGCCACACAGGGACUGAGAUACGGCCCAGGCUCCUACGGGAGGCAGCAGUGGGGAAUAUUGCACAAUGGGCGCAAGCCUGAUGCAGCGACGCCGCGUGAGGGAUGACGGCCUUCGGGUUGUAAACCUCUUUCAGCAUCGACGAAGCGAAAGUGACGGUAGGUGCAGAAGAAGGACCGGCCAACUACGUGCCAGCCGCCGCCGUAA